rnacentral:rRNA from 1 species
UACAGAGACUGCAAGCGUUAUUCGGAUUCACUGGGCGUAAAGGGUGCGCAGGCGGCCGUGUGUGUCAGGUGUGAAAGCCCGGAGCUUAACUCCGGAAUUGCGCCUGAAACUACAUGGCUAAAGCAUUGGAGAGGGUAGCGGAAUUCACGGUGUAGCAGUGAAAUGCGUAGAUAUCGUGAGGAACACCAAUUGCGAAGGCAGCUCGCUGGGACGUUACUGACGCUGAGACGCGAAAGCGUGGGGAGCAAACAGG